rnacentral:rRNA from 1 species
AACGAACGCUGGCGGCAGGCCUAACACAUGCAAGUCGAACGCUCGUAGCAAUACGAGAGUGGCAGACGGGUGAGUAACACGUGGGAACCUUCCCUUCGGUCGGGAAUAGCUCAGGGAAACUUGAGGUAAUACCGGAUACGCCCUUACGGGGAAAGAUUUAUCGCCGAAGGAUGGGCCCGCGUCGGAUUAGCUAGUUGGUGAGGUAACGGCUCACCAAGGCGACGAUCCGUAGCUGGUCUGAGAGGAUGAUCAGCCACACUGGGACUGAGACACGGCCCAGACUCCUACGGGAGGCAGCAGUGGGGAAUAUUGGACAAUGGGCGCAAGCCUGAUCCAGCCAUGCCGCGUGAGUGACGAAGGCCUUAGGGUUGUAAAGCUCUUUUGGCGGGGAAGAUAAUGACGGUACCCGCAGAAUAAGCUCCGGCUAACUUCGUGCCAGCAGCCGCAGUAAG